rnacentral:lncRNA from 1 species
GAUCAUAACUUUUAAAGAUAAUAUUUAAAAUUUAAAUCUAUUAUUUAAAAGGAUAUAAAAUAUAAUUUAAAUAAUGUUAUUUUAUGAAAAUAAAAAAAUAUUAGGAUUUAUUUAAAAACAAAAUAAAUUUAAAAUGAAAAAAAAAAAAGUGAAAACAAGGGUUUUGGUUGAAUCUAGAAUAUCAUGGCCAAACAGAAAUAAAGUGAAAUAAUUAUUCAGAAAAAAAAUAAAAAAAAUAAGAAUUACAUAAAAGAAUGAGC